UCCGCACCCACCUGACGACUGCUCGCUACGUUUUGUUAG
rnacentral:sRNA from 1 species